rnacentral:rRNA from 1 species
GGUUAAGCGACUAAGCGUACACGGUGGAUGCCCUGGCAGUCAGAGGCGAUGAAGGACGUGCUAAUCUGCGAUAAGCGCCGGUAAGGUGAUAUGAACCGUUAUAACCGGCGAUUUCCGAAUGGGGAAACCCAGUGUGAUUCGUCACACUAUCAUUAACUGAAUCCAUAGGUUAAUGAGGCGAACCGGGGGAACUGAAACAUCUAAGUACCCCGAGGAAAAGAAAUCAACCGAGAUUCCCCCAGUAGCGGCGAGCGAACGGGGAGGAGCCCAGAGCCUGAAUCAGCAUGUGUGUUAGUGGAAGCGUCUGGAAAGGCGCGCGAUACAGGGUGACAGCCCCGUACACAAAAGCGCAUGUGCUGUGAGCUCGAUGAGUAGGGCGGGACACGUGGUAUCCUGUCUGAAUAUGGGGGGACCAUCCUCCAAGGCUAAAUACUCCUGACUGACCGAUAGUGAACCAGUACCGUGAGGGAAAGGCGAAAAGAACCCCGGCGAGGGGAGUGAAAAAGAACCUGAAACCGUGUACGUACAAGCAGUGGGAGCACAGGUUUACCUGUGUGACUGCGUACCUUUUGUAUAAUGGGUCAGCGACUUAUAUUCUGUAGCAAGGUUAACCGUAUAGGGGAGCCGUAGGGAAACCGAGUCUUAACCGGGCGUUAAGUUGCAGGGUAUAGACCCGAAACCCGGUGAUCUAGCCAUGGGCAGGUUGAAGGUUGGGUAACACUAACUGGAGGACCGAACCGACUAAUGUUGAAAAAUUAGCGGAUGACCUGUGGCUGGGGGUGAAAGGCCAAUCAAACCGGGAGAUAGCUGGUUCUCCCCGAAAGCUAUUUAGGUAGCGCCUCGUGAACUCAUCUCCGGGGGUAGAGCACUGUUUCGGCUAGGGGGCCAUCCCGGCUUACCAACCCGAUGCAAACUGCGAAUACCGGAGAAUGUUAUCACGGGAGACACACGGCGGGUGCUAACGUCCGUCGUGAAGAGGGAAACAACCCAGACCGCCAGCUAAGGUCCCAAAGUCAUAGUUAAGUGGGAAACGAUGUGGGAAGGCCCAGACAGCCAGGAUGUUGGCUUAGAAGCAGCCAUCAUUUAAAGAAAGCGUAAUAGCUCACUGGUCGAGUCGGCCUGCGCGGAAGAUGUAACGGGGCUAAACUAUGCACCGAAGCUGCGGCAGCGACACUAUGUGUUGUUGGGUAGGGGAGCGUUCUGUAAGCCUGUGAAGGUGUGUCGUGAGGCAUGCUGGAGGUAUCAGAAGUGCGAAUGCUGACAUAAGUAACGAUAAAGCGGGUGAAAAGCCCGCUCGCCGGAAGACCAAGGGUUCCUGUCCAACGUUAAUCGGGGCAGGGUGAGUCGACCCCUAAGGCGAGGCCGAAAGGCGUAGUCGAUGGGAAACGGGUUAAUAUUCCCGUACUUGGUGUUACUGCGAAGGGGGGACGGAGAAGGCUAUGUUGGCCGGGCGACGGUUGUCCCGGUUUAAGCGUGUAGGUGUGUGUUCCAGGUAAAUCCGGUUCACUUUAACACUGAGGCGUGACGACGAGGCACUACGGUGCUGAAGCAACAAAUGCCCUGCUUCCAGGAAAAGCCUCUAAGCAUCAGGUAACAUCAAAUCGUACCCCAAACCGACACAGGUGGUCAGGUAGAGAAUACCAAGGCGCUUGAGAGAACUCGGGUGAAGGAACUAGGCAAAAUGGUGCCGUAACUUCGGGAGAAGGCACGCUGACACGUAGGUGAAGUGAUUUACUCACGGAGCUGAAGUCAGUCGAAGAUACCAGCUGGCUGCAACUGUUUAUUAAAAACACAGCACUGUGCAAACACGAAAGUGGACGUAUACGGUGUGACGCCUGCCCGGUGCCGGAAGGUUAAUUGAUGGGGUCAGCGCAAGCGAAGCUCCUGAUCGAAGCCCCGGUAAACGGCGGCCGUAACUAUAACGGUCCUAAGGUAGCGAAAUUCCUUGUCGGGUAAGUUCCGACCUGCACGAAUGGCGUAAUGAUGGCCAGGCUGUCUCCACCCGAGACUCAGUGAAAUUGAACUCGCUGUGAAGAUGCAGUGUACCCGCGGCAAGACGGAAAGACCCCGUGAACCUUUACUAUAGCUUGACACUGAACAUUGAGCCUUGAUGUGUAGGAUAGGUGGGAGGCUUUGAAGUGUGGACGCCAGUCUGCAUGGAGCCGACCUUGAAAUACCACCCUUUAAUGUUUGAUGUUCUAACGUGGACCCGUAAUCCGGGUUGCGGACAGUGUCUGGUGGGUAGUUUGACUGGGGCGGUCUCCUCCUAAAGAGUAACGGAGGAGCACGAAGGUUGGCUAAUCCUGGUCGGACAUCAGGAGGUUAGUGCAAUGGCAUAAGCCAGCUUGACUGCGAGCGUGACGGCGCGAGCAGGUGCGAAAGCAGGUCAUAGUGAUCCGGUGGUUCUGAAUGGAAGGGCCAUCGCUCAACGGAUAAAAGGUACUCCGGGGAUAACAGGCUGAUACCGCCCAAGAGUUCAUAUCGACGGCGGUGUUUGGCACCUCGAUGUCGGCUCAUCACAUCCUGGGGCUGAAGUAGGUCCCAAGGGUAUGGCUGUUCGCCAUUUAAAGUGGUACGCGAGCUGGGUUUAGAACGUCGUGAGACAGUUCGGUCCCUAUCUGCCGUGGGCGCUGGAGAACUGAGGGGGGCUGCUCCUAGUACGAGAGGACCGGAGUGGACGCAUCACUGGUGUUCGGGUUGUCAUGCCAAUGGCACUGCCCGGUAGCUAAAUGCGGAAGAGAUAAGUGCUGAAAGCAUCUAAGCACGAAACUUGCCCCGAGAUGAGUUCUCCCUGAGACUUAGAGUCUCCUGAAGGAACGUUGAAGACGACGACGUUGAUAGGCCGGGUGUGUAAGCGCAGCGAUGCGUUGAGCUAACCGGUACUAAUGAACCGUGAGGCUUAACCUU